rnacentral:rRNA from 1 species
ACUUAUUAAAACAUGUAAUUUUAUAAAUCGUCAAGAAAAAUAAUAAAGUGACAAACUUUCAACAACGGAUCUCUUGGUUCUCGCAUCGAUGAAGAGCGCAGCGAAAUGCGAUAAUUAAUGUGAAUUGCAGAUUUUCGUGAAUCAUCGAGUUCUUGAACGCACAUUGCGCCCUCUGGGAUUCCGGAGGGCAUGUCUGUUUGAGCGUCAUUUCAUUCUCACAAUAUAGUGGUUAUGACAUUGCCAGAAUUUUUUUUGGCUCUGUUGAAAAAGAUUAGGAAGACACCAAAGAACUAGGUUUACACCUCUUUGGGGUGUCCAUAAUAAAACAUACCAGAAAGUUUGACCUCAAAUCAGGUAGGAG